UAAAAAGUAGUGUACUGUGCUGCGCGUAGAGAUUUGGCCUCUAAGGAAAAGAUUCGUUAUCUUUCUUUUUAU
rnacentral:tRNA from 1 species